rnacentral:rRNA from 1 species
UACGUAGGGUGCGAGCGCUAAUCGGAAUUACUGGGCGUAAAGCGUGCGCAGGCGGUUCGUUAUGUCCGCUGUGAAAGCCCCGAGCUUAACUUGGGAAUGGCAUUGGAAACUGGCGGGCUGGAGUGCGGCAGAGGGGGGUGGAAUUCCACGUGUAGCAGUGAAAUGCGUAGAGAUGUGGAGGAACACCGAUGGCGAAGGCAGCCCCCUGGGCCGACACUGACGCUCAGGCACGAAAGCGUGGGGAGCAAACCGG